AUUGAACGCUGGCGGCAGGCCUAACACAUGCAAGUCGAGCGGAGAGGCGGACGGGUGAGUAAUGCCUAGGAAUCUGCCUGGUAGUGGGGGAUAACGUCCGGAAACGGGCGCUAAUAUCGCAUACUAUCAGAUGAGCCUAGGUCGGAUUAGCUAGUUGGUGGGGUAAAGGCCUACCAAGGCGACGCUCGGUAACUGGUCUGAGAGGAUGAUCAGUCACACUGGAACGGAGACACGGUCCAGGCUCCUAUGGGAGUCAGCAUUGGGGAAUAUUGGAACAUGGGCGAAAUCCUGAUCCAGACAUGCCGCGUGUGUGAAGAAGGUCUUCGGAUUGUAAAGCACUUUAAGUUGGGAGGCGUUACCAACAGAAUAAGCACCGGCUAACUUCGUGCCAGCAGCCGCGGUAAUAC
rnacentral:rRNA from 1 species